rnacentral:rRNA from 1 species
UAGGGAAUAUUGCACAAUGGACGAAAGUCUGAUGCAGCAACGCCGCGUGUGUGAUGAAGGCCCUCGGGUCGUAAAACACUUUUAUGAAGGAAGAGAAAGGACGGUACUUCAUGAAUAAGGAUCAGCUAACUACGUGCCAGCAGCCGCGGUAACACGUGGGAUCCAAGCGUUAUCCGGAUUUACUGGGCGUAAAGCGCGUGUAGGCGGUUUGAUAAGUUGGAUGUGAAAGCUCCGAGCUUAACUCGGAGGGUGCGGUCGAAACUGGCGGACUAGAGUUCGGGAGAGGAGAGUGGAAUUCCUGGUGUAGCGGUGAAAUGCGUAGAUAUCAGGAGGAACACCGGCGGUGAAGACGGCUCUCUGGACCGAUACUGACGCUGAGACUCGAAAGCGUGGGGAGCAAACAGGAUUAGAUACCCUGGUAGUCCACGCCCUAAACGAUGCGUACUUGGUGUAGGCGCUUCAUUGCGUCUGUGCCGAAGUUAACACGAUAAGUACGCCGCCUGGGGAGUACGGCCGCAAGGCUA